UGUGUGUGUGUGGGUGUGUGUGUGUGUGUGUGUGUGUAUAUGCGCGCGCACACACACACAUACUCACGUG